AGUUUUAAGUGAAGAGUUUGAUCCUGGCUCAGAGUGAACGCUGGCGGUAGGCCUAACACAUGCAAGUCGAACGGCAGCACAGAGGAGCUUGCUCCUUGGGUGGCGAGUGGCGGACGGGUGAGGAAUACAUCGGAAUCUACUCUGUCGUGGGGGAUAACGUAGGGAAACUUACGCUAAUACCGCAUACGACCUACGGGUGAAAGCAGGGGAUCUUCGGACCUUGCGCGAUUGAAUGAGCCGAUGUCGGAUUAGCUAGUUGGCGGGGUAAAGGCCCACCAAGGCGACGAUCCGUAGCUGGUCUGAGAGGAUGAUCAGCCACACUGGAACUGAGACACGGUCCAGACUCCUACGGGAGGCAGCAGUGGGGAAUAUUGGACAAUGGGCGCAAGCCUGAUCCAGCCAUACCGCGUGGGUGAAGAAGGCCUUCGGGUUGUAAAGCCCUUUUGUUGGGAAAGAAAUCCAUCUGGUUAAUACCCGGGUGGGAUGACGGUACCCAAAGAAUAAGCACCGGCUAACUUCGUGCCAGCAGCCGCGGUAAUACGAAGGGUGCAAGCGUUACUCGGAAUUACUGGGCGUAAAGCGUGCGUAGGUGGUCGUUUAAGUCCGUUGUGAAAGCCCUGGGCUCAACCUGGGAACUGCAGUGGAUACUGGGCGACUAGAAUGUGGU
rnacentral:rRNA from 1 species